UACAGAGGGUGCAAGCGUUAAUCGGGAUUACUGGGCGUAAAGCGCACGCGGGCGGUCAUGUAAGUCGGGUGUGAAAUCCCCGGGCUCAACCUGGGAACUGCAUUCGAGACUGCAUGGCUAGAGUACGGUAGAGGAGGGCGGAAUUCCCGGUGUAGCGGUGAAAUGCGUAGAUAUCGGGAGGAACAUCAGUGGCGAAGGCGGCCCUCUGGACCAGUACCGACGCUCAGGUGCGAAAGCGUGGGGAGCAAACAGG
rnacentral:rRNA from 1 species